ensembl:lncRNA
UGAUCCUUAAUUGCUUAGCUAUGUCAUUUACCCAUGUUUCUGUUUACUAUGUAUUAAAAUGGGUAGUACUGUUUACUUAACUACCUCACAGAUGUGUUAAGGCAUAGUACAUUAAAUUUCAUGAACUGUUUCUCAGUCUCACUUCAAGCCUCAGAAAUUUGAACCUAUUUGUACCACAGUGUGAUACUCAGAAUUUUAUUCACACCAGGCUUUGAUAAUUAAACUGGAAAAUGAAGUUUAAACAGCCCUUUUGUGGAUCUGGCCAGAUAACACUCAGAAUUCAUGUGGCUACUAUUUUAGUGAAAAUGGAUGGGGAUGGGUUUGUUUCAAAAAGUCCAAGGAUCUUUUUUUCCUCUGAUAUUCUAGAUGAACAUAUUGUAGUAAAUAGUAUAGAGAUUAUGGGCCUAAAGUGGUAAUAAGACCAUUUUGGGGAGGGGAAUGCCAUUGAGUUUGAGACUUUAGAGCCACAUUUAAAAUACCUCAGGCUAAUUACUGUUAAUUUGGGGGGGAAUGAACUUAUUUUUGAUAGUGAGAGUGGACUAAUUCAAGAGAAAGUUCUAGAGUUCCUGCUGUUAAUAAAAUUACUUUGAGUUGAUACAUUUUUACAGGUGAUAGUUUUCUUUUUGAAAAUUUAGUAUUAAGGACUUAAAAUGUGAACACAUUUGUGUGGAACUAUCCAUACCUCUUGAGAAUCUUAACUACUGGAAAUCCUUAACCAAUCACAGUAGUUUUUUUCCUUUUUAUUUUCAGAAUUUUGAUUAGACAUCCUGUGAUGAUAUUUUUGUACCCAUAUUUCAUCUAAACAUAGCUUUUUCUGAUCUUUAAAAUUUUAAUCUAAAGAUAGAAUCCCAUUUUUAAUUAACUUAAAGAAGUGACAAAAUCACUUUUUCUUGUUCCUUUAGGAAACAGCUAUUGCCAGAGUGAAGAGGUAGAUGAUAUUUCAUCUUGUUACGUAAUGGGGUUGUAGUUUGCAGAGGAAUUGUUUUCUUUGUAAAAUUUGAAUUUCAAGGGAUGUCAGUGUUCAUUUAUGCCAUUUCUUCAUUCCAAGAUGGUUCUAUUCCAUUUUAGAAAUUUGAAAUAUGUAAUUUGAAAUCCUUAAAUAAAAUUUGGACUUAAUUUUAUAAAAUAUUCUGGUAACAUUUGGAUUUUUUAAAAGAAUAUGAAUAUACACUGCUGUUUUUGAAGAUUGAAGAGCAGAGAUGUCUAAACAGGCUUUGACCUGUAAAUCUGUGUAAUUACGAGAACAACCUCCUUAUCCCUGCUAAGUAGAGUUCUUUGAAAACUAGAAAGAUAUUCUGCAGUUCCUGAAGGAUUUUAUUCUUGGUUAUCUACAGACAUUCUUGACACGUCAGAGUUUCUCUUUACAUACUCCAGUUUUAGUUUCCACUGACCCCAUUCUCUGACUUAUCAGUAAGUUCUAGAAAUGCUAAAAAUCCCAUCUAGUCAUCUAUUUAGGAAAAAAAAAACUGGGACUUUUGGUUAUUCAGGUAAACGACACAGAGCAGCAGUUCCACACAUUGCUUAGUUGUUAGUGUAACAGCUAUCUGACAGUUAAAUCUGUAAUUUCUUAAAAUUCUUAGUUCACUGAAUUGGUACUAGUAUUACUAUUUUACAUGUGAAAAUACCUUAAUUACUUGGAAUUGGAGAGUUGGUACUUAAAAAUGGGAUUCUACCUCUUUCCUUUUGAGCUCAUUUAACAAACAUGAAAAGGAGAUACUAACUUUGAUAAAAAUACUUUCAUGAUUCUGUGACUAGGUUAAUGAUAGUGAUUGCCAUGUGACAGAGCCCCUAAGAUAACUGAAUUAACAGUAUUACUGCUGUUUGCAAGACAGUGCGGAUUUGUGGGUUUAUCUCAGUUGCAGGCUGUACCCAUUAUCAAAAUUUGAGUUACUGUUUGUGAAAACCUUACCAUGCCAUACAGAACUAUGAAGCUAAUAUUCAAAUACUCUUUGCUGUGAUUUGAGGGCUUGGUUUAGAAUUUGAGUACAUUUUUAUGGGUUAGUCCUGAAACAAAUUUUAGCCUUUAUAUUAACUAUUUAAAUCAGGCCAAAUGUUAUUUUAAAUGUACAAAACAGUUUAGAAGAAGCCU